GACAGUGUCAGGCUUGUUAGUGGUCGGGGACAGAUGAAUCCAGCCCUGUGCUGAUCGCCUGCCUUCCACCUCCCAAUUAGACUAUCACAGCCGGUGCUGCUGUCUCUUGUACUUACUGUAAAGGACCCUGGAAGAGGGAGUGGUUCAUCCUAGCUGCAAACAAGGGCGGUUUUUUGUUGUUGUUUGCUUCUUUUUUUUUUCUUUUAAGAAUUACGUUUUAUAAGUAUGUCUGGGCGUUACAAGGGAAUGUGAACGACUUUUCAGAGAGAUUGUGAAUAUAUUUGAUGUGUUCUAAAAAGCUGGAAAUCCCUAAGUAAAUGCAGUAUCGAUAGAAAGCAAGUUUCUUGAAGAGUCACCUGCUAAACUCUACUAGCGUCAUCUCUACAAUUGGGAGCCUCGAAGUCUGAAAUCAAGGUGUCAGCCAGAUCCCCUCUGAAGUCCUGGCGAAGAGUUCUUCCUUGCCUUCUUCAGGUUCAUUUGACCUCAGGCAUUCCUUGGCUGUGGCAGCCUAACUCCAGUUUCUGCCUCCAUCUUCAUAGAGCCUUCUUCCCUCAGUCAACCUCUGUUUGCUCUUCUACUGGUUGACCAUCAAACAGCCUUUCAAAAUUAAACCUCAGUCUCUCUUCAAAAAGAAAACAAAAAUAAUACGAGACAAACUUUGGCUAUAGUUUCAAGGUACUAGACUGGCUUGGCUGGACUCACCUGCUGUUUCAGAGCAGAAGGGCCAUGUUGCAGAGGGGAGGCUGUGCUGGGUUUCUGUGCUCUGGUCAAGAAACAGAAGCUAUCUCUGUUGUGGUUGACUUGAAAGGGCAAUGCCUUCGUGAGGAAAUGACAGUGUGCGGGGGGCGGGGGGGGGUGCUCUCUGCUAGGUCCCAUUUGCCUCAGAAAAACUACAGUGUACCCUGUGGAAGAAUGAAAAUAACACUUGAAGGUGUUUGCCAUGUAGAAGCCACCAAAGCUGGAUUACAAAAACACCAGUCAAGCCAAAUCUUCUGCGCACACCGCCUCACCUCCCCGACAUUUUCCAGAUGGAGAGGCCAGAGUCAGGACAGUCCUGGGGAAAAGCCGCUGGAGGACAGAAAGAAACAGCACACCAUUUCCCCUAUGCCUUGAGAUUCCUUAGGCAAUACCUCAGCGAGACAAGGGGACAUGCUUACACUGAAUACUAGUGAUAAUUUUGAUACCAAUCUCAGCUGGACUUAACAAAUAUACCCUUGAAUAUGAGUUUUCUAAUACGUGAAAAUAACCAAGAGUGACUUUUGUAUUUAAAUAUCCUCUCCAUGGGCAAGAAGGCAAGAGCAGACAGAGAUAAUUUAGAGUGAGGGGUAAGAAAGGAAUGUUUUUCAUACACUGUAUACCACUGAGUUCAGCUUUGUAAAAAUACGAGUAAUGUUCUACCAAUUAUAUCUUGAAGAUAUUACUCGAAUCUGCCCUUUUAUCUUUGACUACUGAUGUUACCUUAGUCCAAACCAACCAUUGGUUGCACGAGCCUCCUCUGAUUCUGCCAUUCCUAUUCUUUCUCUGCCCCUAUUUGGUCUCCAGAGAACAGGAAAUUGGAUUUUCUCAGAACAUAAUUCAGGUCAUCUUUAACUCACUUGCUCAAGCAUUUUAAUGGAUUUGUUUUGCAUGAUUACAAAAUCCUAAUUCCUUUACUUUGACUUACAUGACCUCCAUAUUCUUGCUGAACCACUUCCUUUCUUCUUAUGCUGUUGCAGACUCUCCAGGUUCAAUGAUCUCCUGGCUCAUGGCAUGUUCCUUCCUACAUGCAUUUCCCAGCGCCAGCUUCCUUCCAUCCCUUCAAAGUCAUCCCAUUCUUGUCUUCUUCAAAGACUUCCUUGACCUCCCUACCCAAAUAAAGUUUUCUAUGUAUCCUUCUGAUCUCAACUAAUUAUUUUCUCCUUCAUAGCACUGAUUUACAGCUCAUGACAACAUUCAAAUUCCACUUGUUAUGUUUAAUGAUUUUAGCGCUAAUUUCUUCUUGAAGAAAUAAUGCACCCCCACACCUGAAACAAUCCCUCACACCUGAAACAAUGUCUGCACAUGGCAGGUGUUCAAAUAUACAUGCAAAUGGAUUAUCAUGUUAUUUUUAUUGUUGUUGAUAUUACAUUUAUCAUCUGGAGGUCCUAAAGGAGCUCUGAAGUAAAAGCAAACAUGGAAAACUUAUGAUUUACUCGUGAUAGCUAUUGUUACGAACUUGAGCUUUUUCUGUUCACAAGACCUAGGUUUAAGAUCAUGCUUUGUGUGAACUGGGACACAAUUUAAUUAAUCUAACCCUUGGCUUUUUCAUCUGUUAAAAAGGAAUAUAACAAUACUUGACCAAACUAUUGCUGAGUAUUAAAUCAAAUAAAAUAUUUGAAGAGCUUACUUAGGCUUUGAGGUCCAUAUGGCUCUACAAAAUUAUGCUAAAAAACACCUCCUUCUUCUCCAAACAUACAAAAAGAGAUUAAAAACUGAAAAGGCAUGUGUUUUACACAUCUAUGACACAAAUUUAUGACUAGACAAAUAACUCUGUCUACCAGGAAAAAUACUGAAAUGUAAUCCAGCUUAUGAAUUAAAGUCAUGGAAGUACUGGUUGAUAGGACAGGAAGUAGCCUGGAAUUUACUUCUGCAAGAAAGUAGACAUCAAAAAUCCCCUGGCAAUUUUGAAGGGGAAUAAAAUAAUUCUCACUGUCAGACAGUUGGUGCCAGAGAAGCAGGUUACUCAUGUGUCAAAGGAAGGCUGAGUAAAAAUGAGCUAAAAACCAAAGACUAUGCCUGGAAUUCACCUUUACCUGGGAUAGUUACAGGAAGCAGCAAAAGCAUGAGAUACAGUACAGAAUAUUAGUUCCAAUGAUUAUGUGUGCAAUAUCUCCAAUGUCACUGCUGUUUCACAGCUGUGUUAGGGUCUAGAGUGUAGAUAGAAUGAAGAUGAAUCUCAUGAGUGAUCAUAGACAAUAAAUGAUUUUUUUAAAGGACCUUAACCGUCAAGUUGGAUGCAAAAAAUAAGAAUUCAAAGUCUAAGUACAAAACUAACACUAGGAAAGACAAUGACAUUAUUAUUAAGUAGUUAAUUCAUUUCUGAUAAAAACAAAUUAGAGCAUAAUAUUAAGAUGACUUUGGAGUUCCUGCUGUGGCACAGUGAGUUAAGGAUCUGGCAUUGCUGGAGCUGCGAUGUAGCUUGCAACUGUAGCUCAGAUUAAAUCCCUAGCCCAGGAACUUGCAUAUGCCACAGUUGUGGCCAAAACAAACAAAUAAAUUAAAAGAUGACUUGAAAAUGAAUAUGCCUAUGAUAGUCUAAGAUAUUCAAAGUUUAACAGAUACAAGAAUUACCGAAAGAUCUUGUUAAAUGCAGUCUAACCAGUAAAAUUAGAUCGUGGCCUGUAAUUAUGCAUUUCUUACAAUUUCCAGGUGAUAUUGAUGCUAGUAAUUGGAGAGCUACACUUUCCCUAGCAUAUCUUUAGAAUAUGGCAACAGAUGCAUGUAAUAAGAAACAAAUUAGAAUUUAUGGAAAUCAAAAUAAAAAGACAAUAUUGAACAACAAAACACAGGAAGCUCUAGUGUGGACAAAGCCAAGGACAAAAUUUGUGUUGAGGCACUGAGAGUAGAUUCAGCCCACAAUGAGUGUUAGAAGUUAAAAAAAUUAGAGGAAUUAACAGACAUGUAGGACACAGUAAGGACAUUCUUACCUAGAUUAUCAUUGAGAAAUGACAGAAUGAGAAAGGCAAGUUCCUUAUAACUCCUGGAGGAAAAAGUGAUCACCUCCAAAGGUAUCAGAAUACUAUGCCAGCAGACUUAACCUCAGCAAGAAGUAUCAGAAAGGGGACAGGAGCUUGUCUCCAAAGCAGUGAAGCAAAGGAAAUAUAUUCUGAGAAUUCUGUGCACAGAUAUGUUUCAUUCACAUACAAAAAGCAAAGAAUUUUUAAGAUACAAAAUUUAAGGAAGGUAGUGAUACCUGUGGAUCCAUAAUGAAAUAAUGACUAAAGGAUUUACUUCAGGGAGAAGAAAAAGAGCAUGGAGUGAAUGAGUCAGAUGGAAAACAGAAGAUAGGUGUCAAGAAAGUGGUGAAAUAUGUCAGUAAUUGAAUCUUUCCAUCUAUCUCUCAUUAUGGUCUCUCUAAAAGUUUACCUUGAAUGGGUCAUCAGAGUCUCAGAUAUUUGGUUCAACAUUAUUCUGGUUUGUCUGUGAACGUGUUUCUGGAUGAGAAUAACAUUUGACUCUGCAGACUGAGUAAAGCAGGCUACCCUCUGCAGCCUAAGUGGGCCUCAUGCAAUCUAAUGAAGGCCUGAGAAGAAGAAAAGGAAGAAUAUUUUCAAGCUAGGACAUCAGCCUUCUCUUUUGACUCUGAUUCAGGCUGGAUCUUAACACCACCAGCUCUCCUGGCUUAGGCUAUGGAGUCAGCCUGGAAGUACAAGAUAAACUCUCCGGGUUCUCAUGUCUUUGAACAUGAGAACAAUAGCCUGUGCUCUCCUGAGUCUCCAGCUUGCUGACUGCAGGUCUUGGGACUUCUUGGCUUGCAUAAUAGUAUGAGCCAAUUCCUUGCAAUGAAUCUCUCUUUAUACAUAAGUGCAUCCCAUUGAUUCUGUUUCUCCUAGAGAACUCUGACUAAUUAUCUAUCUACCCAUUGUCUAUCAUCUAUCUAUUGAUUUGUUGAUAUGUCAACUUAUUUAUAAAAAUAAAAAUAGAAAAAACUAAAUGUCUAAAUUCAGGGGAAUUAUAACUAGUGAGAUGGAAGGAUUUGUUCUUUAAUGAAAUCUUUCAGGGUGAGUUUGAUUUAUGAGGAAGUUAAAUAUAUACCAAUUAAUGUAAAAAAUAUACAUCUUAAAUACAUUUGAUUGUUAGGCUCAAAACUAGCAAAGGAAAAAUUAAAGACAUAUUCAUCAUUUUAACAAGAAAAAGGAAAGGAGAAAAUUAAAAUGAUGUAAUAAGUAGAAACCCACAGAGAGCAGAAAUAAACCCAAAUAUGAUUAUCAUUAAAAUGGAAUGUGAUUAUGUUAUUAACAAAGACUAUCAGAUUUGAUUUACAAAACUAUCUACCUUCCAGAGAGACACAUGAAGUGCAGGAGCAUAAAAGUUGAAUACAGAGAUGGAGAAAGAAAUGAAAGAGUGAAAGAGAAAGUUAAUCUAACAAUAUUAAUUCAGUUGAAAUGUAAUGAACCUCAUCAAAAGGAUAUUAGAUAAGUAGGUAUAAUAUAACAGUAACAAGACACCGAACAUAGGUAAAAUUACUAAUGUAUAAGGAUAUAACAACAUAGUUUUAAAAUAAAGUAAAAUCUGACAAAAACUAAAAACAUAAAUAAAAUUAUUAAAAUAUUAGGAAGCAUAUUGAGGAUUUGACGGCACAAUUAACCUAUCCAUCCAAUAGAUGGUUGUGGAUCCUUGCACACAAAAUAAACUCACAAUUUUUUUUCAAGGGUACACAGCAUAUAUUUAAAAUUUAUCAUACUGUAUUGACAAAAGAAUUUUAAAAAUCAAAAACUUACAUCAUGGAAUACAUGAAGGAAAACAAUAUAAUUUUUUUAAAAGACAAAAAGCCACAAACAUCCACUUGAAAUGUAUAAA
rnacentral:lncRNA from 1 species